rnacentral:rRNA from 1 species
UAAUCAUUUGUCUUUUAAUUGAAGACUUGUAUGAAAGGCUGAACGAGAAAAUAACUGUCUCUUUAAAAAAUUUUGAAUUUUACUUUUAAGUGAAAAGGCUUAAAUAAUUUUAAGGGACGAUAAGACCCUAUAAAUCUUUAUAUUAUUUUAUUUAUUUUUCAAAUCAUAUAUUAAAAGAAAAAAAAAGAAAAAAUAUUAUAUUGGGGAGAUAAAAAUAUAAUUUUUUUAACUGUUUUAAAUGCAAAACAAUAAUUUUUGUUUUAUUAAAAAUUGAUCCUUUUUAAAGAUUUUAAGAUUAAGUUACUUUAGGGAUAACAGCGUAAUUUUUUUUGAGAGUUCUUAUCGAAAAAAAAGUUUGCGACCUCGAUGUUGAAUUAAAAAUAUCCUUAUAANUGCANAANCUAUAANGGAAAGUC